UGUUCCUUUGCUUUCCUCACUUGGCCCAAUUUUCUGGGAAAUGAAACAGCUCAAUUAAAAAAAAUUGAUAUUAGUUUUUAUGGGUAUUAACACUUUGGUGAAGGGAGCAGAACAUGGAAGCUCCAUGAAUCAGCUCAAGUUUGGAGUAGGGGAGGGAGCUCAC
ensembl:misc_RNA predicted gene, 27866